CUCUUCUCUGUUUCCAUAGCAACAUGGCAUGUUUUCCUGCAUGAGGUUAAAGGUCAGAGGGAACCUAGAGGAGCAGACGGUCUGAUCUGCCACACUAACAUCUGGUGUGUACCGACACUUUAACUGGGUCAAAAGGUUCCUUCUCCGGAAAGUUUUUAAAAAAACCUGAAGAAGAAUCCAGUUAGAGAUCCAGAAAAACCAGAACAGAGCCGUUCGCUUCAGAGGAAACCUGAGGAAAGAAGGUUAGGGUUGUAGAGGAGCUGCUGCUGGACAGGAAACUGCAGAAGAAGAAAUUCUUCUAAAUCAGCCCAACAGCUGCGAGGACACAGAGAGGAAGAAACUGGAACUGCAACUCUUCAUUUUAGUCUUUGGCAAACAGAACAUUUUAGAUUCUGAAAAUCUAAUUCACCAAAAAGUCUCAACUUUUCCAGUUUUGAGGUAAAUCUAAGACAAUGAUCAGUUGUCUCAAUGCAGGUUGCAUCAGCCCAGAUACGUAAUCUAAUAAUAUCUACUGUGUUGUAUUUAUAAGCUACACCGAACAAAAAUAUAAAGCCCCGUGUCAAAUGCAAUAUAUAGAGAAACUCAAACUGUAUUUUCAGUAAUUACUGAUCUUCAUAUCGGCAUUGAUAUCAUCGUGGUUCGGCCGUUUGUAGCAGAUUAACAGUCAUGAUCGGGGUCAGGAUGAGGAGUCUGAUUCUGACCCAGUCGGCUUCCCGUAGCGGUCACAGACAGUCUGAUGCGUCUGUUGUUCAGACCGAUCAGCUGUGUGUCGCUGGUCUGAGCCGAUCCUCCGAUGGACGAUCUGGAGGCGGUCAGACGAGGAUGAGGAGGAGCUGCAGUCUGUUGGAAACCAGCUCUGAAACGGCCGGCGGUCCGAUACCGGAGCUGCUGCUCUGCUGGACGUCCUGCAUCCAACACGCCAACGGCUCCACAGAACAUCUGAGGCUUUAUGACUGGAGACAUCAUGUGACGUGUUGGGGCCUUUUAUUGUCCAGUUGUUUUCAUCUACCCAGUGGACAUGUCCCACAAUGCACUGAGUAAAUAACUGAGUGAUGCUCACUGACAGCAAACUGGACUAAACAUUAUACACAAACCAAGAGAAAUAUUAGUUUUGAACAA